AUUGAACGCUGGCGGCAUGCUUUACACAUGCAAGUCGAACGGUAACAGGCCGCAAGGUGCUGACGAGUGGCGAACGGGUGAGUAAUGCAUCGGAACGUGCCCAGUCGUGGGGGAUAACGCAGCGAAAGCUGUGCUAAUACCGCAUACGAUCUAUGGAUGAAAGCGGGGGACCGUAAGGCCUCGCGCGAUUGCAUCGGCCGAUGUCAGAUUAGGUAGUUGGUGGGGUAAAGGCCUACCAAGCCGACGAUCUGUAGCUGGUCUGAGAGGACGACCAGCCACACUGGGACUGAGACACGGCCCAGACUCCUACGGGAGGCAGCAGUGGGGAAUUUUGGACAAUGGGCGCAAGCCUGAUCCAGCAAUGCCGCGUGCAGGAAGAAGGCCUUCGGGUUGUAAACUGCUUUUGUACGGAACGAAACGGUCUGGGUUAAUACCCUGGGCUAAUGACGGUACCGUAAGAAUAAGCACCGGCUAACUACGUGCCAGCCGCCGCCGUAACAC
rnacentral:rRNA from 1 species